UUUGCACUGAACACCAGAACAUGGGCUUGGUAGCGGCCAUUGUGUUUGGAAAGCGUAAUAGCUCACUGGUCUAGCAAUAUUUUGCUUAUACAUGUCCGGUACAAGGAACUGCCGAAGCUCACCUAUAACAU